GAUGAACGCUAGCUACAGGCUUAACACAUGCAAGUCUAGGGACCGGCGCACGGGUGAGUAACACGUAUCCAACCUACCCUUUACUCUGGGAUAGCCUUUCGAAAGAAAGAUUAAUACCCGCUAUAAAGGAUGGGGAUGCGUUCCAUUAGGUUGUUGGUGAGGUAACGGCACACCAAGCCUUCGAUGGAUCGGGGUUCUGAGAGGAAGGUCCCCCACAUUGGAACUGAGACACGGUGCAAACUCCUACGGGAGGCAGCAGGGAGGAAGAUGGGUGAAUGGGCGUUAGCCUGAACCAGCCAAGUAGCGUGAAGGAUGAAGGCUUAUGGGUCGUAAACUUCUUUUAUAUAAGAAUAUGUAUUAUAUGAAUAAGGAUCGGCUAACUCCGUGCCAGCAGCCGCGGUAAUAC
rnacentral:rRNA from 1 species